rnacentral:snoRNA from 1 species
CUUCGGUGAUGACACGAUGACGAGUCAGAAAGGAUGUCCCUGUGCCAUGGCAGCCUGUUGAGUGCCGCAUGCUGCAGUGCUGCACCGAGGUGGCCUUGGGCAGGAUGUUCUGCUCAUUGGAUGAUUUUGAGGCAUUUGUCUGAGAAGG